rfam:Rattus norvegicus chromosome 2, whole genome shotgun sequence.
GUGGCUCAGUGGUUAAGAGCGCUGGCUGCUCUUCCAGAGGUCCUGAGUUCAAUUCCCAGC